rnacentral:rRNA from 1 species
UGCCAGCAGCCGCGGUAAUACGGAGGGGGCUAGCGUUGUUCGGAAUUACUGGGCGUAAAGCGCGCGUAGGCGGCUGGGUAAGUCAGAUGUGAAAGCCCCGGGCUCAACCUGGGAAUUGCAUUUGAUACUGCCUGGCUAGAGUCUGUCAGAGGGUGGCGGAAUUCCGGGUGUAGCGGUGAAAUGCGUAGAUAUCCGGAGGAACACCGGUGGCGAAGGCGGCCACCUGGGGCGAGACUGACGCUGAGGUGCGAAAGCGUGGGGAGCAAACAGGAUUAGAUA